GAUGAACGCUGGCGGCGUGCCUAAUACAUGCAAGUCGAGCGAACAGACGAUGAGCUUGCUGCUUUGACGUUUGCGGCGGGCGUGUGAGUCACACGUGGAUACCCUCCCUAUCUGACUGGUAUCACUUCGGGAAACCGGCGCUAACCGCAUAUAAGAUUUCGCACCGUAUUGUUCGAUGGUGAAUGAUGGCUUUGCUGUCACUUAUAGAUGGACCUCCGCCGUAUUAGCUAGUUGGUACGGUAACAGCUUACGAAGGGGACCAUACGUAGCCGACGUGAGAGGGGGAUCGGCCACAUUGGAACGGGGACAGGGUCAAGACUCCUAAGGGAGGCAGCAGUAGGGUAUGUGCGGCAAUGGGCGAAAGCAUGACGGAGCAACGCGGCGUGAGUGAUGAAGGUGUUCGGAGCGUAAAACCGUGUUAUGAGGGAAGAACCAACGUGGAAGGAACCGAGCACGGAGUGACGGUACUUAAUCAGAAAGCAACGGCUAACUACGUG
rnacentral:rRNA from 1 species